GUUCUACUUGGAAGACUUCACUGAACACAAAUAUUAUAGUUUCAAAACAGUAAAAUGUAUUACGACUACGAUAUUGUCAGUGAAUGACAUUUUUAGCAUUUUUUACACACAAAUGGCACUUACACGGACCAUAUAAUUGUUGUGAUCCGUUUUACUGUUUUGAAACACUAAUAUUUGUGUGCAAAGUCUCCCGAGUAGAAC